rnacentral:lncRNA from 1 species
UGGUAAAAUUCAGAUUUGCUUAGUAGUAAACAAGUAUGUUUUAAUCUCACAGUGCAUGCUGAGAACCCACUAGGGAAAGGACAAUUCUUUAGGGUGUAGAGAAAAAUUAUAUACAAAGAGUUAUCCACCUUUUACUUUUGUUCCACAUCUACUCUGAAAGCAGCAUUUGAGAAAGUUUAAUCAAGACAGCAUGUAUGACAUAAUUGCCUCUAGGUGGUGUCAAAGUUAAAUGUUUAGUUCAUUUUAUCCUUAACAAAUUCCAUGAUGCUCCAUCAAGAAAACUUAACAGGACAGCCUGACAGUUUAGGAAUUGCAUUUCCACUGUGUCACUUUCUUUGUUCAAUGUGCCUGGUAGGAAGUGCAGUGGUAGGAAAAAGAUUAUUGUCUCAGCUUACCUUAAAGUAAACCUGACAUUUAAAAUGAUAAUAUCAAUAACAAUAAGCCAGUACGUAGAUUAGGUUUUAAUAUUAAGAAAGGCAUUUUACCAUCAGGAAAAACUCAUAUAGCACUUUAUCAU